GAUGAAGAACGUAGCGAAAUGCGAUAAGUAAUGUGAAUUGCAGAAUUCAGUGAAUCAUCGAAUCUUUGAACGCACAUUGCGCCCGCCAGUAUUCUGGCGGGCAUGCCUGUUCGAGCGUCAUUUCAACCAUCAAGCCCCAGGCUUGUGUUGGGGACCUGCGGCUGCCGCAGGCCCUGAAAACCAGUGGCGGGCUCGCUGUCACACCGGGCGUAGUAGAUUUUAUCUCGCUCAGGGCAUGCUGCGGGUUCCGGCCGUUAAAAAGCCUUUUUUACCCAAGGUUGACCUCGGAUCAGGUAGGAAGACCCGCUGAACUUAAGCAUAUCAAUAAGCGGAGGA
rnacentral:misc_RNA from 1 species